rnacentral:tRNA from 1 species
CAUGAAGUAGUCCAGUGGUAAGUCUCUUGCUUCCUAAACUAGAGGUUGGGGUUCAAGUCUCCACUUUGUCA